GUUCUUAGUACUGUGUAUUGUGCCCUUUAGCAUCAAUGACAGCGUGCAGUCUUUUUUAAUAGUUGUCUAUGACGCUCCUAAUUCUUGCAGGUGGUAUAGCUGCCCAUUUGUCUUGGCAAAAUGCCUCCAGGUCAGGCAAAGUCUUUGGUUGUCUUGCAUGAACCACACUUUUGAGAUCUCCCCAGAGUAGUUCGAUGAUAUUAAGGUCAGGAGACUGUGAUGGCCACUCCAGAAGCUUCACCUUUUUUUGCUGUAACCACUGGAGGGUCAACUUGG